rnacentral:rRNA from 1 species
UACGAAGGGGGCUAGUCGUUGCUCGGAAUCACUGGGCGUAAAGGGUGCGUAGGCGGGUCUUUAAGUCAGGGGUGAAAUCCUGGAGCUCAACUCCAGAACUGCCUUUGAUACUGAGGAUCUUGAGUACGGGAGAGGUGAGUGGAACUGCGAGUGUAGAGGUGAAAUUCGUAGAUAUUCGCAAGAACACCAGUGGCGAAGGCGGCUCACUGGCCCAUAACUGACGCUGAGGCACGAAAGCGUGGGGAGCAAACAGG